rnacentral:rRNA from 1 species
CGCAUCUGUGCAUGCAGCAUAUCAAUAAGCGGAGGAAAAGAAACUAACAAGGAUUCCCCUAGUAACGGCGAGUGAAGCGGGAAGAGCUCAAAUUUGAAAUCUUAAAGGGUUUCCCUUUACGAAUUGUAGUUUAAAGAAGUGUUUUCUGUUGAGGUUUUGGUAAAAGUUCUUUGGAAUAGGACAUCAUAGAGGGUGAGAAUCCCGUAUUUGACCUUUACUUUCAACUUUGUGAUACACUUUCAAAGAGUCGGAUUGUUUGGGAAUGCAGUCCAAAAUGGGUGGUAAAUUUCAUCUAAAGCUAAAUAUUGGCGAGAGACCGAUAGCGAACAAGUACCGUGAGGGAAAGAUGAAAAGAACUUUGAAAAGAGAGUUAAACAGUACGUGAAAUUGUCAAAAGGGAAGCGUUUGACACCAGUGUUGUUUUUCUGAAAAUCAAUUAAAGAACUGUUUAUGCUAAGUUGUUUAGACUUUAUCAGCUAACUGUUUAGUUUUGAGCUUUUCUUUAAUGCACUUUUCAGUUAACAAGUCAACAUCAAUUUCUUUUGCUGUAAAAAAGCUUGAGGAAGGUGGCUUGAGAUUCGUCUUAAGUGUUUAUAGCCUCUUGCCUAUGCAGUCGGAGAGAUUGAGGUCUGCAGCGUAGAUCCUUCGGGGCUAAAUGCAUUUGUGCUAAGUUAUAGCAUUUUAUAGACAACUUGUUGACUAUGAUUUGUCUUGUAGCUUACUCGCUUAUGUUAUUUUACCUACGCUUAGGAUGUUGACGAGACUGUCGAUCUCAUCCUAUACAUGACUCUGCGCAUAUCAAUAAGCGGAGGAAAAGGUCGUCGCUUACCUACGCUUAGGAUGUUGACGAGACUGUCGAUCUC